AUUCCUUUAAGAUUUACCUUUCCCAUAACUCUUAUUGUUUAAGGUGAUGGCUAACUGAACCUUUGACCCCUGUAACCUAACUGUAGAUAACAUUUAACCUGGAGAAAAGCAAAGUAGAAAUAUUUGAGUAGUUUACAAUGUAUGUGUUUUAGGUGCCAUCUGUUUGUUAUAUGUCUGUGACUAUAACCAUCAACAGGAACUAGUUGUAAAAGAAAAAUAGAAAUUUUACUGACUAAGACCACCAGAAAUGAGGUAAUGGCUAAAAGAAGAUACACAAGGAAAUGUUAAAACAAAGGACGGGGUGGACAUUGAUCACACGAGUUUCUGGCAGUCCCCUUCGCUAGAAUUGGGAAAGAAGCGGCCCUUUGGGGCAUCAGCACGAACUGCACUGGAGGGAGCAGCUCUUUGUCUCCUCUAGAGGAAAGGCUUGCCCCUGGGACUAAUUUCCUAGGCUCCUCAGCAGGACACAGAGAUCCACUCAUCAGAUGCAGAUCACCCAAACCCAAGACAGAAAAUGACAGAAGGAGGGCUGCUGCUGUUGGUGUCUCAUCUGUCUCUUUCCUUUGCUGGAAUCCUACUCCAUUUCCUGGACAAAUUUGCAUUCUCCUUGAGAAACUGUCCCUGCUUCUCUCUCAGCCCAGGUGGCUGGGGUAGGAGCGUGCCUCCUAGUGCCAGCACUGGGUGUAUGAUGAGACUGGCCCAGUCUGACUACUGUGUCUCUCUCAGCGCUGGGCACAGCCAAGUGAUGGAGAAGAAAACAGCCUAAAUUACUUUGAGCCUGGAUCCACCUGGUCCAGAAUCCAGUCUCCCUUGGAGUCCCUAAUAAUGUAAGUCUAUGUCAGCUUGAGUUAGUUUUCCUAUUACAAUAGACACACUCCUGACUGUAACAAAUGGCUUCAGAAUAUAUUUAUUUGGCAGUAUCUCAAGAAAGAUUUC
rnacentral:lncRNA from 1 species